AAAGGAGAGAUUUUAUUUUAUUUGUAUUUGUUUCAAAAUUUCUUUCACAUCAAUAAGUUAACAAGUUCCAAACAAAUAUUGAUUUUGUUUAAUUAUUAUAAGUUGUUUUAAACGAAUCCGAGCUGGGUGGCUUUUUAUUGCAUUUCUGGGUUUUCCGCUGCACACAGAAAUACAUCAGACGCGUGUCCAGCAGGUGCCAAGCACGGGCAUCGAUA